UUACGGCCAUACCACACAGCAACAACGGUUCCCCUACGAUCCCCGAAGUUAAGCAACGUCGAAUCUGGUCAUUUCAUAGAUGGGUGACCGCUUGGAAAUACCAGGUGCAGUAAG